CCUUCGUGCUUUCCUUUCAUGAUUUAUCCCCUAACUUUGGGGACGUUGCUGCAGCUAUUGGGCUUCUAAUAUCCAAUUUAGCUGGAUUUUUAUUAACCUUUCACACGAGGGUUCCCAGACAUAGAUGGCAUCUUUGCAAUUAAGUUCUGAUUCGUCAUGAAUCCAGCAUGUAUAAGCCAUAAUGUCAUAAUGAGCUUUAGCAAAGAUAUGCCCAGGUGGAGACCAGAAAAAGAUUACUUC
rnacentral:lncRNA from 1 species